AUCAUGGCUCAGGAUGAACGCUAGCUACAGGCUUAACACAUGCAAGUCGAGGGGCAUCAUGGAGUUUGCUUGCAAACUCUGAUGGCGACCGGCGCACGGGUGAGUAACGCGUAUCCAACCUUCCCUAUAGUAGAGGAUAGCCCGGCGAAAGUCGGAUUAAUACUCUAUGUUUUCCGUUGCAGACAUCUGAGAUGGAACAAAGGCUUGCCGCUAUAGGAUGGGGGAUGCGUCUGAUUAGGUAGUCGGCGGGGUAACGGCCCACCGAGCCAUCGAUCAGUAGGGUUCUGAGAGGAAGGUCCCCCACAUUGGAACUGAGACACGGUCCAAACUCCUACGGGAGGCAGCAGUGAGGAAUAUUGGUCAAUGGGCGAGAGCCUGAACCAGCCAAGUAGCGUGCAGGAUGACGGCCCUAUGGGUUGUAAACUGCUUUUAUGCGGGGAUAAAGUUCACUACGUGUAGUGUUUUGUAGGUACCGCAUGAAUAAGGACCGGCUAAUUCCGUGCCAGCCGCGGC
rnacentral:rRNA from 1 species